UUAAGUUUUCCAUGUAUUUGGAGAUUCCUGUCGGACGCAAACGAAGAGUUACAAACAAGCUCUCCAAUAGUACCUAUAUCCAUGAUUCCGGCACAUCAACUACAAUGACUUGCAGAGUAAUACAUAAAUUGCAGAUGACAUUUAGGCAGGUAAAUCAUCUUAAAUAUAAUACAUAUAUAUAAAUAAAUAAAGGCUGAUAAACAAAAUCCCUCAUGGUUUUCUUUUUUGGAUGAAUUAAGCCAGGAUGUCAACAAAUUUUCACCCACUGUCACCACUUUAAACAAAGCAAAGGCACUAAGCAGCAAUGUGAGAGCAAGCACCAUACAAAAGACAAAGCAAAAAUGAGGUUUCCUUGACAAGUUGUUUCCACAAACAAGGGCUAACCUUUUAUAC
rnacentral:lncRNA from 1 species